rnacentral:rRNA from 1 species
AACAGGGAUUGCCUCAGUAACGGCGAGUGAAGCGGCAACAGCUCAAAUUUGAAAUCUGGCUCUUUCAGGGUCCGAGUUGUAAUUUGUAGAAGAUGCUUUGGGUGUGGCUCCGGUCUAAGUUCCUUGGAACAGGAUGUCAUAGAGGGUGAGAACCCCGUAUGUGACUGGUUGCCUCCCCCGUGUAAAGCUCUUUCGACGAGUCGAGUUGUUUGGGAAUGCAGCUCAAAAUGGGUGGUAAAUUUCAUCUAAAGCUAAAUAUUGGCCAGAGACCGAUAGCGCACAAGUAGAGUGAUCGAAAGAUGAAAAGCACUUUGGAAAGAGAGUUAAACAGUACGUGAAAUUGUUGAAAGGGAAGCGCUUGCAAUCAGACUUGCGCGCGGUUGAUCAUCCGUGGUUCUCCUCGGUGCACUCGACCGCGCUCAGGCCAGCAUCGGUUUCGGUGGUGGGAUAAAGGCCUUGGGAAUGUGACUCCUCUCGGGGAGUGUUAUAGCCCUCGGUGCAAUGCCGCCUAUCGGGACCGAGGACCGCGCUUCGGCUAGGAUGCUGGCGUAAUGGUUGCAAGCGACCCGUCUUGAAACACGGACCAAGGAGUCUAACAUUUAUGCGAGUGUUUGGGUGUUAAACCCAUACGCGUAAUGAAAGUGAACGGAGGUGAGAACCCUUAAGGGUGCAUCAUCGACCGAUCCUGAUGUCUUCGGAUGGAUUUGAGUAAGAGCAUAACUGUUGGGACCCGAAAGAUGGUGAACUAUGCCUGAAUAGGGUGAAGCCAGAGGAAACUCUGGUGGAGGCUCGCAGCGGUUCUGACGUGCAAAUCGAUCGUCAAAUUUGGGUAUAGGGGCGAAAGACUAAUCGA